rnacentral:tRNA from 1 species
CCGGCGAUAGCUCAGUUGGAAGAGCGGAGGACUGUAGGCUGUACGCAGUGAUUCUUAGGUCGGUAGUUCUAGUCCGCCUUGUCGGA